UACGUAGGGUGCGAGCGUUGUCCGGAAUUAUUGGGCGUAAAGGGCUCGUAGGCGGUUUGUCGCGUCGGGUGUGAAAACACCGGGCUUAACUCGGUGCUUGCUUUCGAUACGGGCAGACUAGAGGCAUGCAGGGGAGAACGGAAUUCCUGGUGUAGCGGUGAAAUGCGCAGAUAUCAGGAAGAACACCCGUGGCGAAGGCGGCUCUCUGGUACGUGACUGACGCUGAGACGCGAAAGCGUGGGGAGCGAACAGG
rnacentral:rRNA from 1 species